CGUAUAUUGCCGUAGACAGCAGGUGCCUUUUUGGCGUAAAUCCUGCCGAGGAAAACGCUUAUGUGAGCAACAAAGCCUCUUUGUCUAUGUGCAAAGAGGCUUUUUCAU
rnacentral:sRNA from 1 species